GACGAACGCUGUCGGCGUGCUUAACACAUGCAAGUCGAACGGAAAGGCCCUGCUUUUGUGGGGUGCUCGAGUGGCGAACGGGUGAGUAACACGUGAGUAACCUGCCCUUGACUUUGGGAUAACUUCAGGAAACUGGGGCUAAUACCGGAUAGGAGCUCCUGCUGCAUGGUGGGGGUUGGAAAGUUUCGGCGGUUGGGGAUGGACUCGCGGCUUAUCAGCUUGUUGGUGGGGUAGUGGCUUACCAAGGCUUUGACGGGUAGCCGGCCUGAGAGGGUGACCGGCCACAUUGGGACUGAGAUACGGCCCAGACUCCUACGGGAGGCAGCAGUGGGGAAUAUUGCACAAUGGGCGGAAGCCUGAUGCAGCAACGCCGCGUGCGGGAUGACGGCCUUCGGGUUGUAAACCGCUUUCGCCUGUGACGAAGCGUGAGUGACGGUAAUGGGUAAAGAAGCACCGGCUAACUACGUGCCAGCAGCCGCGGUGAUACGUAGGGUGCGAGCGUUGUCCGGAUUUAUUGGGCGUAAAGGGCUCGUAGGUGGUUGAUCGCGUCGGAAGUGUAAUCUUGGGGCUUAACCCUGAGCGUGCUUUCGAUACGGGUUGACUUGAGGAAGGUAGGGGAGAAUGGAAUUCCUGGUGGAGCGGUGGAAUGCGCAGAUAUCAGGAGGAACACCAGUGGCGAAGGCGGUUCUCUGGGCCUUUCCUGACGCUGAGGAGCGAAAGCGUGGGGAGCGAACAGGCUUAGAUACCCUGGUAGUCCACGCUGUAAACGGUGGGUACUAGGUGUGGGGUCCAUUCCACGGGUUCCGUGCCGUAGCUAACGCUUUAAGUACCCCGCCUGGGGAGUACGGCCGCAAGGCUAAAACUCAAAGGAAUUGACGGGGCCCCGCACAAGCGGCGGAGCAUGCGGAUUAAUUCGAUGCAACGCGUAGAACCUUACCUGGGUUUGACAUGGAUCGGGAGUGCUCAGAGAUGGGUGUGCCUCUUUUGGGGUCGGUUCACAGGUGGUGCAUGGCUGUCGUCAGCUCGUGUCGUGAGAUGUUGGGUUAAGUCCCGCGACGAGCGCAACCCUUGUUCACUGUUGCCAGCACGUUAUGGUGGGGACUCAGUGGAGACCGCCGGGGUCAACUCGGAGGAAGGUGGGGAUGACGUCAAGUCAUCAUGCCCCUUAUGUCCAGGGCUUCACGCAUGCUACAAUGGCUGGUACAGAGAGUGGCGAGCCUGUGAGGGUGAGCGAAUCUCGGAAAGCCGGUCUCAGUUCGGAUUGGGGUCUGCAACUCGACCUCAUGAAGUCGGAGUCGCUAGUAAUCGCAGAUCAGCAACGCUGCGGUGAAUACGUUCCCGGG
rnacentral:rRNA from 1 species